AGAAGCUGUAGCUGGAGCCCUUAUCCAGGAAGAUGCGCUCGGGGAGCUCGUACUCGGCACUGAGGUCGUAGAUCUUUUUGUAGUUGUCCACGUCAAUGUGCACGUUACCCGCGCUCUGCCAGUUGCUCGCCAGAGUUGUCUCACCCUUGCCGCUGCAAGAAGUAACGGUUGCUGAGUUGCUGGUACAUCAGAAGCUGCUCCACGGGCACAAGCCUCUUGACCAGCUCGCUCUGCUGGCUGUUUACAAGAGAGAAGACUGUUGCAUCAUCUGCAGGCUGAUGUACACCUCCCAGCCCUUGGACGGGAACAGCUUGUACACCCGGUAACUGCCCUCCAGAAGGUACCAGAUCUGGGGGUGCAACAGCCAGGUGUGAGUGAGGACCAUGGGGACCUCUGACCCCAUCUCUCCCUCUGCCAAGUGUGCUGGCUCCACUUAUUGAGGGGUGAGACUUGGAGCUCACCUCCAUCUGGGACCAGCCUGACUACUCUCAACUCUCACUGUCUGGGAAUGAGUCUGUCUUCCUAACUGCCCAGUGAGGGCAGGACCCAGAGCUGACUCAGUCACCACUGUGUCCCCAGCACUGGGUCGGGCAUCCAGUAAGUACUCCAUAUCUAUGAAAUGAACAGCCGAAUGAUGACAUGAAAGAGGGCCCCCCUGGAAAUCAGAUCACAUAACUCUGAGCAUAGGUCUUUCACUGCUGACAGACUUUGGAAAACACACUUAGCUUCGUUGAG